rnacentral:rRNA from 1 species
CCUACGGGAGGCAGCAGUGAGGAAUAUUGGUCAAUGGACGAGAGUCUGAACCAGCCAAGUAGCGUGAAGGAUGACUGCCCUAUGGGUUGUAAACUUCUUUUAUAUGGGAAUAAAAUGUUCCACGUGUGGGAUUUUGUAUGUACCAUAUGAAUAAGGAUCGGCUAACUCCGUGCCAGCAGCCGCGGUAAUACGGAGGAUCCGAGCGUUAUCCGGGUUUAUUGGGUUUAAAGGGAGCGUAGGUGGAUUGUUAAGUCAGUUGUGAAAGUUUGCGGCUCAACCGUAAAAUUGCAGUUGAAACUGGCAGUCUUGAGUACAGUAGAGGUGGGCGGAAUUCGUGGUGUAGCGGUGAAAUGCUUAGAUAUCACGAAGAACUCCGAUUGCGAAGGCAGUUCACUGGACUGCAACUGACACUGAGGCUCGAAAGUGUGGGUAUCAAACAGGAUUUGAUACCCCAGUAGUC